GACGAACGCUGGCGGCGUGCUUAACACAUGCAAGUCGAACGGAAAGGCCCUGCUUUUGUGGGGUGCUCGAGUGGCGAACGGGUGAGUAACACGUGAGUAACCUGCCCUUGACUUUGGGAUAACUUCAGGAAACUGGGGCUAAUACCGGAUAGGAGCUCCUGCUGCAUGGUGGGGGUUGGAAAGUUUCGGCGGUUGGGGAUGGACUCGCGGCUUAUCAGCUUGUUGGUGGGGUAGUGGCUUACCAAGGCUUUGACGGGUAGCCGGCCUGAGAGGGUGACCGGCCACAUUGGGACUGAGAUACGGCCCAGACUCCUACGGGAGGCAGCAGUGGGGAAUAUUGCACAAUGGGCGGAAGCCUGAUGCAGCAACGCCGCGUGCGGGAUGACGGCCUUCGGGUUGUAAACCGCUUUCGCCUGUGACGAAGCGUGAGUGACGGUAAUGGGUAAAGAAGCACCGGCUAACUACGUGCCAGCAGCCGCGGUGAUACGUAGGGUGCGAGCGUUGUCCGGAUUUAUUGGGCGUAAAGGGCUCGUUGGUGGUUGAUCGCGUCGGAAGUGUAAUCUUGGGGCUUAACCCUGAGCGUGCUUUCGAUACGGGUUGACUUGAGGAAGGUAGGGGAGAAUGGAAUUCCUGGUGGAGCGGUGGAAUGCGCAGAUAUCAGGAGGAACACCAGUGGCGAAGGCGGUUCUCUGGGCCUUUCCUGACGCUGAGGAGCGAAAGCGUGGGGAGCGAACAGGCUUAGAUACCCUGGUAGUCCACGCUGUAAACGGUGGGUACUAGGUGUGGGGUCCAUUCCACGGGUUCCGUGCCGUAGCUAACGCUUUAAGUACCCCGCCUGGGGAGUACGGCCGCAAGGCUAAAACUCAAAGGAAUUGACGGGGCCCCGCACAAGCGGCGGAGCAUGCGGAUUAAUUCGAUGCAACGCGUAGAACCUUACCUGGGUUUGACAUGGAUCGGGAGUGCUCAGAGAUGGGUGUGCCUCUUUUGGGGUCGGUUCACAGGUGGUGCAUGGCUGUCGUCAGCUCGUGUCGUGAGAUGUUGGGUUAAGUCCCGCAACGAGCGCAACCCUUGUUCACUGUUGCCAGCACGUUAUGGUGGGGACUCAGUGGAGACCGCCGGGGUCAACUCGGAGGAAGGUGGGGAUGACGUCAAGUCAUCAUGCCCCUUAUGUCCAGGGCUUCACGCAUGCUACAAUGGCUGGUACAGAGAGUGGCGAGCCUGUGAGGGUGAGCGAAUCUCGGAAAGCCGGUCUCAGUUCGGAUUGGGGUCUGCAACUCGACCUCAUGAAGUCGGAGUCGCUAGUAAUCGCAGAUCAGCAACGCUGCGGUGAAUACGUUCCCGGGGCU
rnacentral:rRNA from 1 species